CUGGGUUGAUAGGCCGGAUAUGGAAGCACGGUAACGUGUGGAGUUGACCGGUACUAAUAGGCCGAGGGCUUGUCCUCAGUUG
rnacentral:rRNA from 5 species